UUGGGGUGGCUAUUUUUUGGAUCCGCUGCUGCCGCGCGCCGUGCGUCUGGAUCAGGCACAGGUCGCCGCCAUAGGAGAGCAGGGUGGCGUGGUCUUUGUGGUGGGCAUGGAGCAAGGGAGGAUGAGGCGCUGGUAUGAGGAAAGGAGCAGCAAGGUCGGAGUUCCAGGCGGUGCUGGCCGUCGUCACAUGUCCCCAGUCUAGGUUGCCCAUCUGCGUCCGAGUCAUCUUCCUCCCCAAUUUUUACUUCUUGAUUUAUUGUUUUUCUGAACAUAUGUGUGCAGAUCUAAGAAAAAAGAGAAGGGGAUGAAUCUGGAGGAAGAGCUUGGUGAAGAACAAGGUGAUCUCUCUCUCUCUCCAUCUCUUUGAAUUUAAGUCCACUUUCAUCUUUUUCAUUGCUGCUAUUUCUCGUGGGAUAUUCAGUAGUUGAGAACACAUAUUUUGUAGGUGUUCGUAAUGGCAACGGUGGUAAUCAACGAUGAGAAAAAAGGACCGAGAUUGUAUUUGUACUAGGUAUGUUCCUCAUCUCUCUCAGUCCUUGUUCCAAUCCCCACCCUGAUGUAACUGUUUCUUCACAACUAUUGGAUGUGUCUUAGGAGAUGAAUGCCAUGGAUUGUUUAGAUUCUUGUUGAGCUAACCACUACUUAAACUAUUUGUCCCCUUGUUAAAGCUAAUCAUAGUAAUAGUUGGUGAUCGUCUGGCUGCUGUGUAUAGUGGCAACCAAAUUCAUGAUGAUGAAUUGAAUCAAACCCGUAGUAAAGUUAGUGUUAAAUCACACAUGUGUAUAGUCAAGUUCAGUACACUCAAGCAGUUUUGUCAGAUUGUAGAUUUAGUAUGACAAGAAAAUUACUUGAAAGAAAUGGGUACAACCACUGUGAUAAAUAUCAGUAGUAUGCAUUGUAUAUGUAUGCUCAGUCAUGUUUAACUCUGAGUAUUUUUCCCCUAUGUGUUACAGCAGGUGAUGCCUUAAUUUAGUUCAUGGCAUUAUGGCGGGACGCAUGUGGUAAAUGGUUACAAUGAUGGCUCAUGGAGUUAAAAUUUUGUGUUCUGUACAGAUUUGAGAUGAUAGAAAUUCAAAAUAGGUAAACCAAUAAGCCAUGUUUUUCUUUGGUGUUGCAGUUGUCAUGUGUCACAAGUUAUAUAUGUGUGUUCAUAAUUAUAACUGCACUUUGUCCUUGUCUUUGCAAGUGUGAUAUAUGCAUGUUCAUAAUUAUAUUUUAGUCCUAAUUUUCAGAUCAUGACCACAGCUUGCGGAGUUUCAAAAUCUAACAUCUCUAAUUUCCGCAUCAAGCUAAGUGGUCCCGUUGUUUAGCAUUUAGGCACUUUCUAUUUGUUGCUUCAAUGUAAUGUUUAAGGUUGUUGCUUUAACAGUGUUUGAUCUAGAUUAUCAGUAAAACACACUCACAAUUAGGUGUUCUUCCUUGGUU
rnacentral:lncRNA from 1 species